rnacentral:tRNA from 727 species
AGGCGCGUAGCUCAGCUGGUUAGAGCACCACCUUGACAUGGUGGGGGUCGUUGGUUCGAGUCCAAUCGCGCCUACCA